rnacentral:misc_RNA from 1 species
GCUAUUGGUAUGACACGUGGGACUGUUCUUCAAGGACUUCAGACAGAUCCUUAUCAUUUUGAAAGAAAUGGCCUGUAUAUUGGUCAAGGAAUAACAACAAUGUCAAGGGCUGGCAUAUUUCGUGUUUCAGAAGGAAUUGCUGUGGAUAUGAAUAAUCGGGUGUUUAAAUUGCCUUCUUUUCAUGAUGUGCUUGAGGGGGAAAUAUUUCUUCAGAACUUGCCAAGCAUUGUCACUGCUCAUGCCUUAGAUCCUC